rnacentral:lncRNA from 12 species
GUUGAAUGAGUGGAUUGCAGGAGUUGAAGGAUAGGUAAGAAAUGGAGAUACUGGACACUAGAUGUACGUAGAAAAGUCAGGGCAGUUAAAAAAAGUUCUCUAAGUGCAAAUUGUGAUGGCCUGAACUAGAAAUGAAUGUGACAGAAAUAGGCAAGGCAACAAAUGAAUAAAAUUUGGCAGGCCAUCAUUAUGGGAGAGGAGAGAAAAUGACCUUGCAGACAGCACUCUGAGGUUGUGAGUCAGAAGAUUGAAAGGCAACCAGCCUCCAACACACAGACAUGCAAACUUGUUUGAUUCUGAUGGGUCCUCAUAAGGGGUGGAGAGAAACAAAAAAACACUACAAAGUGAAGAUGGAAUUCUAAGCACAGAGAUGGAAGUUUGAGAAUUACUUUUUGUGAUAAAUGAAAAAUGGAAGCAAACGAGGUAAGUCAUAGCCAAACUAUCCGAGCAUUUAUGCCUUAGGGUAAAGCAAU